AUAAAAGUGUUCAAGGCAGAGAUAUGAAGGUUCAGAGUGAUUGCUGUGUUCACAAUUUUGAUCUAAUCAGCCUCAAGGAAAUGAAAAUACGAGGGACCACUGAAAAUUCUCAUUGCAGGACCAGGAAGAGGAUCAUUGACACGAAGGGGGACACUAACUCACAGCCCCCCUCCACUCCUUUCUGUCGUCUUCAUCCAAAUGGCUACUUCUCUGAUUGUCCAUUAUUUGAUCAACAAUUAACCCCAGGGAAGAGAAUCUAG
rnacentral:lncRNA from 1 species